CCUUGUACACACCGCCCGUCACACCAUGGGAGUUGGGUCUACCUUAAGACGGUGCGCCAACCGCAAGGGGGCAGCCGGCCGCGGUAGGCUCAGCGACUGGGGUG
rnacentral:rRNA from 1 species